UUUUGUACCUGUGGCACAUCUAAAAACUGCAGGACAGCGGCCCUUAAGGACUGGAGUUUGAGACCCCUGCUUUAGUAGCUCUUCCAUUUCAUGUCUGCUGAGUUUUUAAAUAAGAGCCACAGAAAGUGUUUUGUAUUGUUCAAGAUUUAAGGAAUGAGUUCUUCAGAUCUCGGCGCCACCAUGUCAUGUUGUUGGUAGUGGAGAGGUGGAUCCAAAUGCAGAGAGGAGGAGGCGGCAGCUGAGUUUUUUUUUGAUGAUUUAAUGUAGUACGGUAGAAAUGAUGAUGAUGGGCACUUACAAAAAAUUUUAAAAAAUCCAAGGUAGCAACAAAAAUAAUUCCAAAAGAACAUCAAACUAGGAGGCACUAGGAUAAAACAGGGAAGCACAGAGGACUGAGGUAAAUGAACAUGAGGAUCUGAUGAGGAAUAGAUGGAAGUGAAUGAGAGGCUAAAAUACUGGGAGGUAGAGAGUUGGACAAAACCAGGGCUGAUGAGCUUCAUUGGCUGCAGGUGAGAGUGGUUGGCACAGGAGCAAGUAGAGGGGUAAACUUAAGACAUCCAGCUGCUCCGCCAGUGAAACGCUCAGAGCAACAGAAGCGCUUGAAAUCCGAAUUU